UUUGCCCCACUUUGCAUCUCAUCCGUUUAUUCUGAGCAGAAAGUGAGUGUUCCAAUUGGCCCUCCCACUAGCUAACCCCAUGCAACGUCCAUGUGUUACCCGCCCUGUCUGCGCGUGGGUCCCACCUUAGGUUGGGUCCACUCGUCGGUGACUGCGGGUGUACUUUAGUUCGGUUGAAAAAGCUCUCCUCCCGUAGGGGUAAAUUGGGUAUUUCCUCGUGCGGCCAUUGGAGGAGACAAAACUGCAGCCCGAUCCAGAUCCCUAGCCAUUCGUUUCCUCCUCCCAGCUCCCUGCCGCCGCCUCCCCAUCUCCGCUCCCCUCCGCGGCCGGGCUCCUCUCCGGUGAGCAACCGUCACCCGCGUCCUCUCGGGGAUCUACGCGGCGCACCUCGCCGGCGUCGUCCUUGGGGAGGAGCGUCUCCACCAUCUCCGCGCCGGUGUGGAUUGAGAUCUUCGGUCUCCACCAUCUCCGCCCCUGCCGGGCUCGAGAUCUGCGCGCCUGCGGCGCUCGCGUGGCAGAAAAGAGGAAGAAGAAGCUGCACGUGGGAGAUCGGGAAGAUGCGUUGCAGAAGUGCGCGCGGAGAGGAUGGCGGCGAGGAGAGUGGCAGCGGCCGUGCGGAGGGAGAGGACGUGCGGCACGGUGUGGGGAGUCGGCCGGCGGUGGCAUGGCUCAGGAUCCCCUCCGUGUUUGGCGGCGCAGAGCAGAGUGACGAGCCGCAACAGCUCACCGUGCGUGCGCAGCUCGUUCUCCUACGGGGGCUAUGCCCGUCCCCCACGCCAAAGCUGCUGCUCUCCGGCGUGAAGGGCAAGUGAGCUGGUUAUGCGGCUAAACCCCCUCCUUUUUAUAGAUCCUCAUGAUUUGUACUGCUCUAUUUCGAUUUGAGAUGAAGAUUUUUAUCUGUGCUGCUACCUGGGUUGUGCAGGAUUGGAUGCAACAUGGUCGUUUAUGUGGUGGAGAGGGAGUCCUGGAGGUCAUCGUCAGCCAGAGAUUGCUAAUGGUGUCGCCUGCUUGUCCGCGGCGCCCCCAGCGGUGCGAAUCAACAACGGAGGAGGCCAUGGAAGAGAGGAAGGAGGCAUGGAGAUGUUGUGGCAAGCAGAUGCAGUCAGCGAUGGAGCGCUAGCUGUAGUCGAGGCUGAGCCAGAAAGAUAAGGGAGGAGAAGGGAGCAUGAAAUGAAUGUGUCUCUGAUGAUUGUUUCCAUGACUAGAAACAUGGUCAAAAGCCCCAGGUAAAUUUCCCCCCUCUUCUUUUAUUUGGGGUCCUUUUGGUGGUGAGACAUAUGUUGCUUCCAAGGAUCUCUUGGCUGCACUCUGCCGGCACCAGGUAUGAACCCUACUGAUGAAGUAGCAUGGAGAUGGAGAGAAAAUGAGCACAUGGAGGCUGGUUUGUGUUGUUUUUAUGAGAUGGAGAUCAAGUGGUUCUAAAUCUCAAUGUAUUCUAAUCCGAUCAAUUUAAUUUGUGAUGUAAUCUUGCUGAUUUGAUGUGGUUAGUGUAGUGGUAAAUUUUCCAACCAUCAACUGAUGCUUUUGAGGCAGGUGCCUUUGGGACUGAUUAUCCUGGCAAUACGGUGGUGGAUGUUAAGAAUCCUUCACUGAGUUGAUGCUCGGGUUCAUAUUUGUUGCUAAAGCGAUCCAGAUCCCUCUAGUGCCAAUGGAGGAUGGAGUGAUCCGUGCUCAGUUUGUGUACGCAACUUGGAACUUCUCCACCGUGGUAUGAGUCUUACGCCUGCAUUGGUGGCUUGAUAUGGCUGUGAGAAAUGUUAUCAAAUAGAUCUAGCUGAGAAGCUACAUCAGAUGAGUUCUUUACUUCACUAGAGAUAUUGGUUUCUCCCCUCACUUAAUUUAUCUAUUGGAAGCUCUUAUCCACUUCGCUGACGAUACAAGCCACUUGAGAUUUGCAUGGACAGAUGCAUGCUACAAUAUCUUCACUCUAGUAAUGGCUUUGAUCUGGUACUUCCGUGCACCCUCUAUUUAUAGGGUUGUUCCAGUUUUCUCCUCUGCUCUGCACGGAGUAUAUGGUUGCGCUGCUGUUUGGUAUUGAGGUUCUUUCUUCGCGUUGUGCUUGCCGAGUCUCUCAGAUAGCUAUAUGAGUUACACCUGUGAGUCUAUGUGCCCAUUCACUAGCCCUAUGCACCCAUCCCUGAAGCUCCAGUUCAUCUACGUAAUUUUUUUUACUAAUAACAUGAAUACAGUACAUUAGAUUAUCUUCAAGAAAAAGAUUAAUGGUUUAUAUAUGUACUUCUGUUCGUGUCCAUCAAAAAGAUGAAUGCAUUUUUUGGUAUGUCUGUAGGUCAACAGUAAUUAUGGUAUGAUGUCACAAAAAAUAAGAGGAGUUCAGUCUGACGGAACA